GAUGAACGCUGGCGGCGUGCCUAACACAUGCAAGUCGAACGGAGUCCAGCCUUUAAGACCUUCGGGUCAAAGAGGGGAAGACUGAGUGGCGGACGGGUGAGUAGCACGUGGGCAACCUGGCUCAUAGAGGGGGAUAACAGAGAGAAAUUUCUGCUAAUACCGCAUAAGCACACACUGCCGCAUGGCAGAGGGUGAGAAGAGAAUCGCUAUGAGAUGGACCCGCGUCUGAUUAGCCAGUUGGCAGGGUAAGAGCCUACCAAAGCGACGAUCAGUAGCCGAUCUGAGAGGAUGAACGGCCACAUUGGGACUGAGACACGGCCCAAACUCCUACGGGAGGCAGCAGUGGGGGAUAUUGCACAAUGGGGGGAACCCUGAUGCAGCGACGCCGCGUGAGUGAAGAAGUAUUUCGGUAUGUAAAGCUCUAUCAGCAGGGAAGAUAAUGACAGUACCGGAAGAAGAAGCCCCGGCUAACUACGUG
rnacentral:rRNA from 1 species